UACGUAGGGUGCGAGCGUUGUCCGGAAUUAUUGGGCGUAAAGGGCUCGUAGGCGGUUUGUCGCGUCGGGAGUGAAAACCCAGGGCUUAACCCUGGGCUGGCUUUCGAUACGGGCAGACUAGAGGUAUGCAGGGGAGAACGGAAUUCCUGGUGUAGCGGUGAAAUGCGCAGAUAUCAGGAGGAACACCGGUGGCGAAGGCGGUUCUCUGGGCAUUACCUGACGCUGAGGAGCGAAAGCAUGGGUAGCGAACAGG
rnacentral:rRNA from 1 species